GACAGAGGGUGCAAACGUUGUUCGGAAUUACUGGGCGUAAAGCGCGUGUAGGCGGCCCUGCAAGUCGGAUGUGAAAUCCCACGGCUCAACCGUGGAAGUGCAUUCGAAACUGCAGGGCUAGAGUCCUGGAGAGGAAGGUGGAAUGCUUGGUGUAGAGGUGAAAUUCGUAGAUAUCAAGCGGAACACCGGUGGCGAAGGCGACUCACUGGCCCGAUACUGACGCUGAGGCGCGAAAGCGUGGGGAGCAAACAGG
rnacentral:rRNA from 1 species